UACGGAGGAUGCAAGCGUUAUCCGGAAUGAUUGGGCGUAAAGCGUCCGCAGGUGGCAAUGUAAGUCUGCUGUCAAAGCGUCUGGCUCAACCAGAUAAAGGCAGUGGAAACUACAUAGCUAGAGUAAGGUAGGGGUAGAGGGAAUUCCUGGUGUAGCGGUGAAAUGCGUAGAGAUCAGGAAGAACACCGGUGGCGAAGGCGGCAUCCUGGACUGGUCCUGACACUCAUGAGCGAAAGCGUGGGGAGCGAUCCGG
rnacentral:rRNA from 1 species